rnacentral:rRNA from 1 species
AGUGAACGCUGGCGGUAGGCCUAACACAUGCAAGUCGAACGGCAGCACAGUAAGAGCUUGCUCUUACGGGUGGCGAGUGGCGGACGGGUGAGGAAUACAUCGGAAUCUACUUUUUCGUGGGGGAUAACGUAGGGAAACUUACGCUAAUACCGCAUACGACCUACGGGUGAAAGCAGGGGAUCUUCGGACCUUGCGCGAUUGAAUGAGCCGAUGUCGGAUUAGCUAGUUGGCGGGGUAAAGGCCCACCAAGGCGACGAUCCGUAGCUGGUCUGAGAGGAUGAUCAGCCAAACUGGAACUGAGACACGGUCCAGACUCCUACGGGAGGCAGCAGUGGGGAAUAUUGGACAAUGGGCGCAAGCCUGAUCCAGACAUACCGCGUGGGUGAAGAAGGGCUUCGGGUUGUAAAGCCAUUUUGUUGGGAAAGAAAAGCAGCAGGUUAAUACCCCGCUGUUCUGACGGUACCCAAAGAAUAAGCACGGGCUAACUUCGUG